rnacentral:sRNA from 1 species
GACUGUAGUCGUUGCAGUUAAAUCCUUAGGUCGCUGGUUCGAAUCCGGCAGGUCGGAUUUUUUUUCUUUAUUUUGCAAUUUUCCACUCCCAUUUUA